GUGCUCGCUUUGGCACACGUAUACUAAAACUGGAACGAUACAGAGGAUUAGCAUGGGCCCUGCACAAGGAUGACACACAAGCUCCUGAAGCAUUCCGUAAAAAA
rnacentral:snRNA from 1 species